UACGUAGGGGGCAAGCGUUGUUCGGAAUUACUGGGCGUAAAGGGUUCGUAGGUGGUGCGGCAAGUUGGGUGUGAAAUCUCUGGGCUUAACUCAGAGGUUGCUUUCAAAACUGCCGCGCUCGAGUGCGAGAGAGGUCAGUGGAAUUGCAGGUGUAGCGGUGAAAUGCGUAGAUAUCUGCAGGAACACCCGUGGCGAAGGCGGCUGACUGGAUCGCAACUGACACUGAGGAACGAAAGCUAGGGGAGCAAACAGG
rnacentral:rRNA from 1 species